UACGUAGGGUCCGAGCGUUGUCCGGAAUUACUGGGCGUAAAGAGCUCGUAGGUGGUUUGUCGCGUUGUUCGUGAAAACUCACAGCUUAACUGUGGGCGUGCGGGCGAUACGGGCAGACUGGAGUACUGCAGGGGAGACUGGAAUUCCUGGUGUAGCGGUGGAAUGCGCAGAUAUCAGGAGGAACACCGGUGGCGAAGGCGGGUCUCUGGGGCAGUAACUGACGCUGGAGGAGCGAAAGCGUGGGGAGCGAACAGG
rnacentral:rRNA from 1 species